GGUGAGGUGGCCGAGCGGCUGAAGGCGCUCCCCUGCUAAGGGAGUAUAGGCUUAUCCCCUAUCGAGGGUUCGAAUCCCUCCCUCACCGCCA
rnacentral:tRNA from 1 species